rnacentral:rRNA from 1 species
CAGGGAUGCCUCAGUAACGGCGAGUGAAGCGGCAAAAGCUCAAAUUUGAAAUCUGGCUCUUUUAGGGUCCGAGUUGUAAUUUGUAGAAGAUGUUUCGGGUGUGGCUCCGGUUUAAGUUCUUUGGAAUAUUACAUCAUAGAGGGUGAGAAUCCCGUAUGUGACCGGCAGCCUUCGCCUAUGUGAAACUCUUUCGACGAGUCGAGUUGUUUGGGAAUGCAGCUCAAAAUGGGAGGUAUAUUUCUUCUAAAGCUAAAUAUUGGCCAGAGACCGAUAGCGCACAAGUAGAGUGAUCGAAAGAUGAAAAGCACUUUGGAAAGAGAGUUAAACAGUACGUGAAAUUGUUGAAAGGGAAGCGCUUGCAACCAGACUUGCACGCAGUUGAUCAUCCGGUGUUCUCACCGGGGCACUCUGCUGCGUUCAGGCCAGCAUCGGUUUUGGUGGUUGGAUAAAGGCCUUGGGAAUGUGGCUUCCUUCGGGGAGUGUUAUAGCCCUCGGUGCAAUGCAGCCUACCGGGACCGAGGACCGCGCUUCGGCUAGGAUGCUGGCGUAAUGGUUGUAAGCGACCCGUCUUGAAACACGGACCAAGGAGUCUAACAUCUAUGCGAGUGUUUGGGUGUUAAACCCAUACGCGUAAUGAAAGUGAACGGAGGUGAGAACCCUUAAGGGUGCAUCAUCGACCGGUCCUGAUGUCUUCGGAUGGAUCUGAGUAAGAGCAUAGCUGUUGGGACCCGAAAGAUGGUGAACUAUGCGUGAAUAGGGUGAAGCCAGAGGAAACUCUGGUGGAGGCUCGCAGCGGUUCUGACGUGCAAAUCGAUCGUCAAAUUUGCGCAUAGGGGCGAAAGACUUAUCGAACCAUUGAACACCUACUAGGUGGUUAAGAGGCCUUAGUACGGCCUAGUCCUCACCGAGGGCGACAUUGUCAAAUUGUUCGGGGACCUCCUGAUAACUCUCAGACUACCGCAGCCCGCCCGAAAGGGGGGUGCGCACCGGGCUAACGACCCUGGGGAUGGUAACAACGUCUGGGUAGGGAAGAUCCGCAGCCAAGUCCUACCGCCCUCCGGGGCCACGGAUGCAGUUCACAGACUUGAAGGCAGUGGGCUCCCCCGGGAGCUUAAGAUAAAGUCGAACCCCCCGGAGACGGGGUGGAGGGAGGAGAGUGCGUCGCACUCAGAGUCCUCAGGGCCCACGUCCCGA